AACAUAUGUGUGUGAAAACAAGAGAGUGAAAGAGAGAGAGAGAGUGCCAGGUGUGACUAGUUGUAACAGGUAUGACUAGUUGUAACAGGUGUAACUAGUUGUAACAGGUGUGACUAGUUGUAACAGGUGUGACUAGUUGUAACAGGUGACUAGUUGUAACAGGUGUGACUAGUUGUAACAGGUGUGACUCGUUGUAACAGGUGACUAGUUGUAACAGGUGACUAGUUGUAACAGGUGUGACUAGUUGUAACAGGUGACUAGUUGUAACAGGUGACUAGUUGUAACAGGUGUGACUAGUUGUAACAGGUGACUCGUUGUAACAGCUGACUAGUUGUAACAGGUGACUAGUUGUAACAGGUGUGACUAGUUGUAACAGGUGACUAGUUGUAACAGGUGUGACUAGUUGUAACAGGUGACUAGUUGUAACAGCUGACUAGUUGUAACAGGUGUGACUCGUUGUAACAGGUGACUAGUUGUAACAGGUGACUAAUUGUAACAGGUGUGACUAGUUGUAACAGGUGACUAGUUGUAACAGGUGUGACUAGUUGUAACAGGUGACUAGUUGUAACAGCUGACUAGUUGUAACAGGUGUGACUAGUUGUAACAGGUGACUAGUUGUAACAGGUGACUAGUUGAUAAGCCAGAUGGUUGGGUGUGUGACUAGUUGUAACAGGUGACUAGUUGUAACAGGUGACUAGUUGUAACAGGUGACUAGUUGUAACAGCUGACUAGUUGUAACAGGUGUGACUAGUUGUAACAGGUGACUAGUUGAUAA